GGCCCACAGGCUUCCCAAAUCUCGCGUGAUCACGUGGUGGCCACACAGGCGGAAGUGUCCGACAGCUUUUUUGGGGUGUUCCUGGGUCUCUCUGAGCUGGAAGAGCUAAGAAAUACGGAAGGAUCGCUGCCGGCUGCCUCGCUAGCAAUGGCUGCGGAGGAGGACCAGUCACGUGAUCUCGCUUCCGGCCCCGGGCGCUCUCGGACUCCGGUCCGAGUUUUAAAUGCGGAGUCAUCUCAGGGAGUGAACUAGUCUUGUACUUAGAGCUCCGAGGCUUUCGAUUUCCUUGUGGAGGGUGGGCCCAUCGCCUGAAAAAUUGUGUACGUGUUUCUAAAGAGGAGGAAAGUGGAUUUGAGCCCACUGUUAACACAGUCUAUGAUUAGUAACCCCUGAAACUGGCUGAGUGGUCCCCACCGGUAGAGCUAAGUCUCUGGGUUUUAGUUCCUUCAAGGUUCGGCCACCUAGUAGACCGUGUACUUUAAGUGAUUUAUUACGGCAGUGGAAUUGCCAAAAACACAACAACAACAAAACACAAGCCACCGGAUUAUGACAGCUCGAUAACGCUCCCCCCUCCGUUUUUUUUUUUUUUUUAAAAUACUGC